rnacentral:lncRNA from 1 species
AUAAAUCUCCUCUGUCGGCUCCCAGGAGAAGAAAAAAUUGGCCACUUUUGAGAUUCUGAGUAUUUGGAAGAAAAGAGUCUCAAAGAAAGAAGACCACCAUACCGCAGUUACAGUAACCAUUCUCCUUAUGAAGAUCUAUCAUCAAGCUAUUGGGGGGACUUCUUAAAGAAAGUCCCAUGGGUGAUCUGCACUCCUGGCU